rnacentral:rRNA from 2 species
AUGCUGGAGGUAUCAGAAGUGCGAAUGCUGACAUAAGUAACGAUAAAGCGGGUGAAAAGCCCGCUCGCCGGAAGACCAAGGGUUCCUGUCCAACGUUAAUCGGGGCAGGGUGAGUCGACCCCUAAGGCGAGGCCGAAAGGCGUAGUCGAUGGGAAACAGGUUAAUAUUCCUGUACUUGGUGUUACUGCGAAGGGGGGACGGAGAAGGCUAUGUUGGCCGGGCGACGGUUGUCCCGGUUUAAGCGUGUAGGCUGGUUUUCCAGGCAAAUCCGGAAAAUCAAGGCUGAGGCGUGAUGACGAGGCACUACGGUGCUGAAGCAACAAAUGCCCUGCUUCCAGGAAAAGCCUCUAAGCAUCAGGUAACAUCAAAUCGUACCCCAAACCGACACAGGUGGUCAGGUAGAGAAUACCAAGGCGCUUGAGAGAACUCGGGUGAAGGAACUAGGCAAAAUGGUGCCGUAACUUCGGGAGAAGGCACGCUGAUAUGUAGGUGAAGCCCCUUGCUGAUGGAGCUGAAAUCAGUCGAAGAUACCAGCUGGCUGCAACUGUUUAUUAAAAACACAGCACUGUGCAAACACGAAAGUGGACGUAUACGGUGUGACGCCUGCCCGGUGCCGGAAGGUUAAUUGAUGGGGUUAGCGCAAGCGAAGCUCUUGAUCGAAGCCCCGGUAAACGGCGGCCGUAACUAUAACGGUCCUAAGGUAGCGAAAUUCCUUGUCGGGUAAGUUCCGACCUGCACGAAUGGCGUAAUGAUGGCCAGGCUGUCUCCACCCGAGACUCAGUGAAAUUGAACUCGCUGUGAAGAUGCAGUGUACCCGCGGCAAGACGGAAAGACCCCGUGAACCUUUACUAUAGCUUGACACUGAACAUUGAGCCUUGAUGUGUAGGAUAGGUGGGAGGCUUAGAAGUGUGGACGCCAGUCUGCAUGGAGCCGACCUUGAAAUACCACCCUUUAAUGUUUGAUGUUCUAACGUUGACCCGUAAUCCGGGUUGCGGACAGUGUCUGGUGGGUAGUUUGACUGGGGCGGUCUCCUCCUAAAGAGUAACGGAGGAGCACGAAGGUUGGCUAAUCCUGGUCGGACAUCAGGAGGUUAGUGCAAUGGCAUAAGCCAGCUUGACUGCGAGCGUGACGGCGCGAGCAGGUGCGAAAGCAGGUCAUAGUGAUCCGGUGGUUCUGAAUGGAAGGGCCAUCGCUCAACGGAUAAAAGGUACUCCGGGGAUAACAGGCUGAUACCGCCCAAGAGUUCAUAUCGACGGCGGUGUUUGGCACCUCGAUGUCGGCUCAUCACAUCCUGGGGCUGAAGUAGGUCCCAAGGGUAUGGCUGUUCGCCAUUUAAAGUGGUACGCGAGCUGGGUUUAGAACGUCGUGAGACAGUUCGGUCCCUAUCUGCCGUGGGCGCUGGAGAACUGAGGGGGGCUGCUCCUAGUACGAGAGGACCGGAGUGGACGCAUCACUGGUGUUCGGGUUGUCAUGCCAAUGGCACUGCCCGGUAGCUAAAUGCGGAAGAGAUAAGUGCUGAAAGCAUCUAAGCACGAAACUUGCCCCGAGAUGAGUUCUCCCUGACCCUUUAAGGGUCCUGAAGGAACGUUGAAGACGACGACGUUGAUAGGCCGGGUGUGUAAGCGCAGCGAUGCGUUGAGCUAACCGGUACUAAUGAACCGUGAGGCUUAACCUU